UACGUAUGGUGCAAGCGUUAUCCGGAUUUACUGGGCGUAAAGGGAGCGCAGGCGGCGCGCCAAGUCUGAUGUGAAACCCCGGGGCUCAACCCCGGGCAUGCAUUGGAAACUGGCGGGCUGGAGUGCCGGAGAGGUAAGCGGAAUUCCUAGUGUAGCGGUGAGAUGCGUAGAUAUUAGGAGGAACACCAGUGGCGAAGGCGGCUUACUGGACGGCAACUGACGCUGAGGCUCGAAAGCGUGGGGAGCAAACAGG
rnacentral:rRNA from 1 species